CAAAAGCCCAGCUGGUUUGUAAACAGUCAUUAGCUGAGAACCACAUCCCAGCAAAUGGCCUUCACGGAUUUCAAAAUGAAAUGUCAUCUGGCUUCAGCAAACUCAGAAGAACGAAAGUCAGAAGCUACUCAUCAGCAAGGAAUGGACCCACUCAUAAAAUGGUGGUGUCACCUUAAUGUGUACUACUGCAAGAAAAAGCUCUUUUGUACACAGAUGUAGGAAGAGGCACUUA